GAUUAAAUGAGCCGAUGUCGGAUUANCUAGUUGGCGGGGUAAAGGCCCACCAAGGCGACGAUCCGUAGCUGGUCUGAGAGGANGAUCAGCCACACUNNNAACUGAGACACGGUCCAGACUCCUACGGGAGGCAGCAGUGGGGAAUAUUGGUACAAUGGGCGCAAGCCUGAUCCAGCCAUGCCGCGUGGGUGAAGAAGGCCUUCGGGUUGUAAAGCCCUUUUGUUGGGAAAGAAAAGCACGGGCUAAUACCCGUGUUCUGACGGUACCCAAAGAAUAAGCACCGGCUAACUUCGUGCCAGCAGCCGCGGUAAUACGAAGGGUGCAAGCGUUACUCGGAAUUACUGGGCGUAAAGCGUGCGUAGGUGGUGAUUUAAGUCCGUUGUGAAAGCCCUGGGCUCAACCUGGGAAUUGCAGUGGAUACUGGGUCACUAGAAUGUGGUA
rnacentral:rRNA from 1 species